rnacentral:rRNA from 1 species
CCUACGGGUGGCAGCAGUGAGGAAUAUUGGUCAAUGGCCGUAAGGCUGAACCAGCCAAGUCGCGUGAAGGAAGAAGGAUCUAUGGUUUGUAAACUUCUUUUAUAGGGGAAUAAAGGGAGCCACGUGUGGAUAUUUGCAUGUACCCUAUGAAUAAGCAUCGGCUAACUCCGUGCCAGCAGCCGCGGUAAUACGGAGGAUGCGAGCGUUAUCCGGAUUUAUUGGGUUUAAAGGGGGCGUAGGUGGUUUUUUAAGUCAGCGGUGAAAGUUUGUGGCUCACCCCUACAAUUGCCGUUGAAACGGGCAGCCUUGAGUGUGUUUGUGGUAGGCGGAAUGCGUGGUGUAGCGG